rnacentral:rRNA from 1 species
GACGAACGCUGGCGGCACGCUUAACACAUGCAAGUCGAACGAGAGAAGAGAAGCUUGCUUUUCUGAUCUAGUGGCGGACGGGUGAGUAACACGUGAGCAAUCUGCCUUUCAGAGGGGGAUACCGAUUGGAAACGAUCGUUAAUACCGCAUAACAUAAUUGAACCGCAUGAUUUGAUUAUCAAAGAUUUAUCGCUGAAAGAUGAGCUCGCGUCUGAUUAGCUAGUUGGUAAGGUAACGGCUUACCAAGACGACGAUCAGUAGCCGGACUGAGAGGUUGAUCGGCCACAUUGGGACUGAGACACGGCCCAGACUCCUACGGGAGGCAGCAGUGGGGAAUAUUGCACAAUGGAGGAAACUCUGAUGCAGCGAUGCCGCGUGAGGGAAGAAGGUUUUAGGAUUGUAAACCUCUGUCUUCAGGGACGAAAAAUGACGGUACCUGAGGAGGAAGCUCCGGCUAACUACGUGCCAGCAGCCGCGGUAAUACGUAGGGAGCGAGCGUUGUCCGGAAUUACUGGGUGUAAGGGAGCGUAGGCGGGAUCGCAAGUCAGAUGUGAAAACUAUGGGCUUAACCCAUAAACUGCAUUUGAAACUGUGGUUCUUGAGUGAAGUAGAGGUAAGCGGAAUUCCUAGUGUAGCGGUGAAAUGCGUAGAUAUUAGGAGGAACAUCAGUGGCGAAGGCGGCUUACUGGGCUUUAACUGACGCUGAGGCUCGAAAGCGUGGGGAGCAAACAGGAUUAGAUACCCUGGUAGUCCACGCCGUAAACGAUGAUUACUAGGUGUGGGGGGACUGACCCCUUCCGUGCCGCAGCAAACGCAAUAAGUAAUCCACCUGGGGAGUACGACCGCAAGGUUGAAACUCAAAGGAAUUGACGGGGGCCCGCACAAGCAGUGGAGUAUGUGGAUUAAUUCGAAGCAACGCGAAGAACCUUACCAGGUCUUGACAUCGUAUGCAUAGCUCAGAGAUGAGUGAAAUCUCUUCGGAGACAUAUAGACAGGUGGUGCAUGGUUGUCGUCAGCUCGUGUCGUGAGAUGUUGGGUUAAGUCCCGCAACGAGCGCAACCCUUACUGUUAGUUGCUACGCAAGAGCACUCUAGCAGGACUGCCGUUGACAAAACGGAGGAAGGUGGGGAUGACGUCAAAUCAUCAUGCCCCUUAUGACCUGGGCCUCACACGUACUACAAUGGCUGUCAACAGAGGGAAGCAAAGCCGCGAGGUGGAGCGAAUCCCUAAAAGCAGUCUUAGUUCGGAUUGUAGGCUGCAACCCGCCUACAUGAAGUCGGAAUUGCUAGUAAUCGCAGAUCAGCAUGCUGCGGUGAAUACGUUCCCGGGCCU